GAAGGUACAUGAGCAGAUCCUCAGCAUUGAGAAAAGAUAUUCCCUUGGACUGCAGAUAACAAAGCAGAGGAAAAAAAGAUACUGUGAGUCUGAACAUGGGAAAUAUGAAGUAACACAUACACACACACAGAAGUAAGUAAGGUGUUAUUCUCUAUACAGCCGUUUUUAGCACUGAGGCUUUAUUACAAGAGAGAAGACAAAAGAUGCCCAAAUUCCUUAAGAGGUCAGCUGAUUCACGACCAAUCUCUAGGACUGCUCAAGAAAAUAAGGAAAACAUCUCUAAACAAAGAAAAUUCAGUGAAACCCAGCCUUGGACAUGCUAAAUAACAGCACUGCCUGGAGAUAAGAAGGUAUUGGGUAGAAAUGAGAAAGACCAUAAUUCCUAGGCUUUAUUUCCCCGGGGUCCCAAACUUUGAAGUGUACUUUAACUAAACCUCAGAUCGCUCUCAGAUGUUUUCUCUCAAGAAAGAGCACGGGUUAAAGGAGAAUGGGCAAACAUAAACAAGUUGUAUGUCACACAUAAAUAACAAGUGGCAGUCCUGAAGGAACGGCUGUGGAUUUCAAGAUGUGGGCUCAUGCAGGAUAUGAGUAAUUCCCAGAGACUUCCCACUAACUUUCAGUGGUCUCCCACUGACGUUACUGGUAUCCUGUGGCAAGAGAAUAGGACCAAUAUUUUUAGAAGUGUGUGCUGGCUGUUCUCUGGAGUCCUUGCAGUGCCGGGGUAUUUUUAGUGGUUCAUUAUAUGGAUUGGAGGAGUCUUUGCGUUGUGUUGUGUCACACGCAGCGUGUGAACUUCCUGUCCCUGCUCCUCUGUGCCUUUGAUCCUGCCCAUCCAGCCACCACAGCAGGAGAGCUGACACAUCAGCCAUGGCCAUUUCUUCGUUACUAGGACUUCCAGAGAUGAAGUUGGGAUGGCCACGUACACAGGAAGCCCAAGGGGACCUGCAUCUCACCCUGGGUGAUGCUGACUGCAGGCCACAGCCAGGAACAGAGCCCUGCUUUUCACCAUGACCACAGGCUGUUUCACCUGGUCCCCUUUGGAUACUGUAAGGCUGCUAGAAGAGAAGGAAAUGCUGGAACAUUGCAGCACACCCCUCUCUUUGGAGCAACAGCAGUAGAAGCCAGAAACUUCAGCCUGGAAGCAGCCUGUCAUCUGCCUGGAAGACUAUUCUCCUCCCUGCAUGCUUUUGGGAUGUUUCUUACUGAUUCCACAGCAGUUCUUUGUGCAGCCAGCAGCACACAGGACACUUGUGCAGCAGUUGGUCCUUGAGAGGGAAAGCACAGCCCAGGACAGACAGACCCAGUGCAGCUCCAAGGAAAGAGCCUGAGCAUUUUUGGCUGCAGAAGUAGCCCCUUACUGGCCAGGUCUCAAAGAAACGUUACUCACAAUCUUACCCUUCUCCCUCCCACCUUCCUUUUUCUUCCUUUUUUCUUUUUUUCUUUUUUUCAUUUCUUUUUUUUGUACUUGAAAUGCUUUUCUUGGCACCCCCUGACAUUCCAGCUGAGCAGCACCUCACUUGAAGUAUUACCUGAUUACACUGAACACUUUCACAUGUGGAAUUUUGCACACCCAGUGUUCAGCCAGUGACAGUAACAAAUAGGGUAUUAAUUAACACCACAGUGAUUAAAGACUUGGGAUCCGACAUCUGUAAUGAAU
ensembl:lncRNA